AUAUCAGUCUCUAAUUUGUGAUGUGCUUUAAACCAGGUCACAGAAAAACAAGAGCACAAUAAUGGUUGAUGCAAUUGGCCUAAUAUAUAUUAUAAUGAAAAAAAAAAACGAGAAGAAGAGAGCUACACUCGUAGGCGCAAUCUGGCUAUUUUGCGCAACAAGGAAGAUCACUUUUUAUAUGAAGAAAAUACGUUUAGGAAAUUCUUUCGAUUUCCAAAACACAAAUAUGUAUGUAUAUAUAUAUCCAAAAUCUAAAAUAUAUAAUAAUCAUAAAAUAA